GGAGUUUGGACCGUGUCUCAGUUCCAAUGUGGGGGACCUUCCUCUCAGAACCCCUACUGAUCGAUGGCUCGGUGGGCCGUUACCCCGCCGACUACCUAAUCAGACGCAUCCCCAUCCUAUAGCGGUAAACCUUUGGUAUUCGUCAGAUGUCUUCAAAGGACAACAUAGGGAAUUAAUCCGACUUUCGCCGGGCUGUGCC
rnacentral:rRNA from 1 species